GGUAGCGCAGCGGGUUAGUGUGCUUGGCUGUUAACCAGAAGAUUGGUGGUUCGAGCCCAGCUAGGGACA